CGGGCGACUUUCAAAGCGGUAAAAAAAGGAAUAUGCGUCGUUCGGGAGCUUCUCAAGAGGUCAAAGAGAGCGGAGGACGGAUGAGCUCUUUCGCCGAUACACAAGGCUUGCCGGUGUCUUCGCCACGUGGCCAUUAAUCAGCAGGACGGCGGGAUAGAGGAGGCCGCAUGGGCCACAUGAAGCGAGGCUGAAUAUUUGAGCCAUAUCCGGCAUAUACUACUGGCGGCACAAGGCCAUCCCUGCAUCUGACUGCCGGCGAAACUGAACAACGAAGACACAGACGAAAAUCUGCGCGUGACCCUCUGCACUGCCUCAUCGACUGAUCGGAUUUACGACACACUGGAACCAUCAAGACAUCAUCUUCGCGACCCGUUGUGUGACAUCAUCAACAACUCAUACUAUCAAUACGACGGCGUGCACGAUUCCGGCAUCGGCUACGGCAGUACAGCAGCGAACAUUUCGUGGUCCCCAAACCCACUCGUUUAUCUUCAGGUGAGAAAGAAUUUUAGAAAACGUUUUCUUAGUGACAUCAUGUUUCUUGUGUUGCUAAAGUGCCCCCCACCGAUAAGUGAUUUAGUUAGCGCAUAUGUGACACCUGCAGAAAAUCUAUUGCUUGCUUGUGAUACUGAAAGAAACCCCGAGCCAAACACGCAGGAGAUUUCAUCGGAGAUGCAUUGUGUGGCGGCGGACCUAACACUAUCAAUAUUUUUUUAAAAGCUAUAAUUUUUUAUGAGCAAUUUCUACUUUCAUAAUUUCUACUUCCUAAAAAGUCAGUGCGUGUCACACGCAGCAAGCCAGAUGAAGCAAUGAAGUACAAAAAUCCGAGCACGAAAGCUAAUGUAUAUCUUGAAAAUAGUUUGAUUAAGCGGCCAAUAAAUAUGAAUACCUUCGAAUGUGAACAGCAAACCUAAUAUAUAUGUACUACGUUACGACGGCUCAAUCACGUUUACCACAAUUAUUACGUGGUCACACACUGAAAUCACUCAAAACGCUUGUUCUCUUUUCAUAAUUUUCGAUUGCAAUAUGCAAAGGUAAUGAAAAUGAUGAACUUACCUUCGAAGAUAGCAUGGGCCUGUGGUUCGUAGAGCCAGUAAAUCCAGAUAAAAUUAUUCACAGAUCAAUGAUGACCGCGUCGAUCCCUGUAGCUUAGCUGAAAGGAAGUUGCGAGGGUGUCUUGCCCGCAAGCCGAGGCGUCCAAGGAGCGCGACAGCCGCUCCACAGAAGCAUACUUGCGCUUGUGUACGCAAAUGUAGCACAUGCAACGAAGCAGCUUCUUCACAGCUGCCCUCAUAGUCUCUAUGACUUACGGCACUCGCAGAACGCGGAAUAAAAGCAAGG